rnacentral:rRNA from 1 species
UACGUAGGGGGCAAGCGUUGUCCGGAAUUAUUGGGCGUAAAGAGCGCGUAGGCGGUCCGAUAAGUCGGCUGUGAAAGUCAGGGGCUCAACCCUUGGAAGCCGGCCGAUACUGUCGGACUAGAGUCCGGAAGAGGCGAGUGGAAUUCCCGGUGUAGCGGUGAAAUGCGCAGAUAUCGGGAGGAACACCAAUGGCGAAGGCAGCUCGCUGGGACGGUACUGACGCUGAGGCGCGAAAGCCAGGGGAGCAAACGGG